CUGGAAUUUAGAAGCCACCUUAGAAGAAAGAUAGUGAAGGGAUGAUGAAUUGAGGAGAAGUACGUCUAAUUUUUGCUAUCCUUCUGGAAUCUUUCUACUCAAAACUACUCAGACAAGAGUAAGAUACAAUAAAGAAGAAAAAUAUUUUCUUCUUGUGAUAAGAACUGUCAGGAUUUACUCUCUUCACAACUUUCCUGGACUUCAUACAGCAGAGUUAGCCAUAGUCAUCAUGAUGCUAUAUGUGACCUUUCUACAAGGUGGAUGAGAAGUGCCCUGUGACCUUGUGUUGGGGAAAUAUAAAUGAAAACAAAAUCUCCUCCCAACCCAGGAAACUUCUCCAUGAAGGUAGAAGAGGAAGAAAACAACUUAUUAUUAAAUAAAUAUUAUUAAAUAAGAAUGUGAUAUGCAUCCCAUGCAAUCACUUGUUAAAGACAAUGCCAAUGCAGAAAGAAACCUCACCCCCUCUUCUGGAGCCAAGGAGAUACAAUCCCUACACACAUAUUCUCAAGAUAAACCUGAACUGGUCCUCAAGAAAGAAGAUUUGACAGCACCAUUUGUCACACAGUUCAUCCUAAAUUCACCAAGUAACUGGGAAACCCAAUUUCUCAAGAAAUUGGAAUACAUCUGCACCCAGGAAGGACUGCACGGUAUAAUGGUUGGAUUGGUCAGGCCCUAA
rnacentral:lncRNA from 1 species